CUGAAAACUGCACCGAGCAUAUACCAUUAUUUUUUUAUUUUUUUUUAGAGAUAGGUAUCACGCUACCCACUUUAUUUAUUUUAUUUAGAAAUAAACUUAGCUGAAAAUAUGAAUCAAUUAGGAUUCGAACUUGAAACCUCGGGUACCAACCAUCAAGUUUUUUGCCACUUGCUCUAGUGACGGUCAGUUAAGCAUAUACCAUUAUUAGUUUAUAAAUAAUAAUGACAGUAUUCAUGCUUCUGCUGUACUCUAUCUACAGAGCCAUAU
rnacentral:lncRNA from 1 species